rfam:Aedes albopictus isolate Foshan contig41508, whole genome shotgun sequence.
UAGCCUAGUGGUUAAGGCUGUGGAUCGCAAAUCCGAAGGCGGCGGGUUCGAUUCCCGU